rnacentral:rRNA from 1 species
AGACGUCUACAUUAGAUACCCGGGUAGUCCCAGCCGUAAACUAUGCGCGUUAGGUGUAUCGGUGACCACGAGUCACCGAGGUGCCGAAGGGAAACCGUGAAACGUGCCGCCGUGGGAAGUACGGUCGCAAGGCUAGAAACUUAAAGGAAUUGGCGGGGAGCACCACAACGGGUGGAGCCUGCGGUUUAAUUGGACUCAACGCCGGGAAGCUCACCGGAUAAGACAGCGGAAUGAUUGCCGGGCUGAAGACUCUGCAUGACUAGCUG